rnacentral:misc_RNA from 1 species
AAUAUGAAAGCGGUUGGGGAACCACAGGGACAAGAGCUUCGGCUUGCGUUUCUGCCCCAGCUGUCUGAAUAUUCACCCAUGUCUUUUGCGUACUAUUUGUUUCCUUGGUGGGCUUGCCCACCGAUAGGACAAAAUUAAACCUUUUGUAAUUGCAGUCAGCGUCAGAAAAACUUAAUAGUUACAACUUUCAACAACGGAUCUCUUGGUUCU